UACGUAGGGGGGCUAGCGUUGUCCGGAUUUAUUGGGCGUAAAGAGCGUGUAGGCGGCCUGAAAGGUCAGCUGUGAAAACUCGAGGCUCAACCUCGAGACGUCGGUUGAAACCAUCUGGCUAGAGUCCGGAAGAGGAGAGUGGAAUUCCCGGUGUAGCGGUGAAAUGUGUAGAGAUCGGGAGGAACACCGGUGGCGAAGGCGAGUCCCUGGACGAUACCUGACACUGAGGCACGAAAGCUAGGGGAGCAAACAGG
rnacentral:rRNA from 1 species